rnacentral:rRNA from 1 species
CUCUUUUUGAUUUUAAUUUAAAGUUUGGCCUGCCCACUGAAAUUUGAAGGGCCGCAGUAUUUUGACUGUGCAAAGGUAGCAUAAUCAUUAGUUUUUUAAUUGAAAGCUUGUAUGAAUGGUUUGAUGAGAAAAUUACUGUUUCAAUUUUAUUAAUAGAAUUUUAUUUUUAAGUUAAAAAGCUUAAAUAAGGUUUAAAGACGAGAAGACCCUAUAGAGUUUGACUAAAAAUAAAAUUAUGAAAUUUAGAAAUUUAAUUUUUUAAUUUAAUUUAAGUUUUGUUGGGGUGACAGAAAAAUUAAAUUAACUUUUUUUUUAUAAUUACAAUAAUAAUUGAAUUAUUGAUCCAAAAAAAAAUGAUUAUAAGAUUAAAUUACCUUAGGGAUAACAGCGUAAUCUUUUUAAUAGUUCUUAUUGAAAAAAAGGUUUGCGACCUCGAUGUUGGAUUAAAAUUUAUUUUUGGUGUAGAAGCUAAAAUAUUAGGUCUGUUCGACCUUUAAAAUUUUACAUGAUCUGAGUUUAAACCGGUGUAAGCCAGGUUGGUUUCUAUCUUAAAUAAAGUAAAUAUU